ACACACGCACACGUACACACGCACACACACAUCCACCCCAGUUUACCGGACCCCUCCUCCAUCGCUGCUCCACUUACAGUCUCUCUCUCUUUCUCUCUCACCAUUUCCUCUACACCAGCAGAGCCUCUGUAACAUCCUCAAACCUCCCUCGCUCACUCCUUCUCCCUCCCUGCGUCUCUCGCUCAUCUCUCUUCACUCUCCCAGUAUACCCACCAUCAGCUCACUUAGCUCACUCCAACUCCAGCUCACGCCGACUCCAGCCCCUUCUUUUGUUCCUGCCCUCCUCACUGCUGUCGGCCCUCAGCUCCUCCAGACAAAAGAAAAUCAACUCAAAAAAACUUUUGGAAUUCUUUUUCCGGCGUUUUUUUUUUUUUUUUAACCUCUCUGACCCUCCGCUCUUCCUCCAGACGGGGAGAGGCUGACUGGUGUGCACGAGCUGACACCCGGUGCCUUGCUCUUUACCCUCCUGAGGAACUCUCGCUGCCACCGGUGACCGGAGGAAGACGUGCACGGAGAACAUCUCAAUAUUCUUUACUCGUGUUUGAGGUUAUCCGCCACCAUGAAAGUUCAGCUGCUGAUCCUGUUGGCCCUGGCCGGUCCCUUCUGCGGCAUCACACGUGCCAGUCCCACCGGUCUCCCCGCAGAAAUGGGGGGUGUAACCGAGGUAACGGCUGAAAUCCCAGAGGAAGUGCACGGUGUGUUCACCGGGGCCCCCGCGACCGCACCAGCAGCUCUCCCCGCCGAAGUCACCGCAGAAGCCACCUCAGAGGUCGCCACGGAGACCGCCGCCGAGGCCACCCCGGAAAAACCCACAGAGGCCACCGUAGAAGCCGACACACAGGCCGCCCUAGAGGUCGCCACCGGGGCGGCCACCGUAUCCGAAACGGAGGCUGCGACGGCGCAGGCGACCGCGGAAGACGCUUUCACCACCCAGGCCGCCCUCGUGGAGUCCACGGCUGCGGAGACUGGCUCGCAGCGGAGGUGACGGAAGCGGCGGCUGAGACUACGGCAGAGGUCGACGCGGGGAAGACAGCGGCAUCCACGGACACCCUGGUGGACCCUAGCGCAACGGCCGAGGUGGAAAUGGAGGCUGAAGGGAUGAGUUCGGGCCAGGUGGCCGGAGUGAUCAUCGGCGCCUUGAUCGCGAUCGUCAUCGUCAUCGCUGUGGUCAUCGCCCUCGUGAGGAGGAUGGGCAAAUACUCUCCAUGAAGGAAAGAAGGAAAAAACAAAGAGGCAGGAGCGCCCAGAGUUCUGGAAAUUGUGAACUACUGAAAUGUGAUGUCAUUUCCUGUCAUUAAACAACCAUGCUAUCAGCACUAGUCAAGCACUAGUGUGGUGUGUGUGUGUGUGUGUGUGUGUGUGUGUGUGUGUGUGUGUGUGUGUGUGUGUGUGUGUGUGGGUGUGGGUGUGGGUGUGUGUGUGUGAGAGAGUGUGAGAGUGUGCGUGUGUGCGUCUCUGUGUUAUUCAGAGUAUGUGUGUGUGCGCCUGCGCGUGUGUGUGUGUGUGUGUGAGUACGCCUGUGUGUGCGCCUGUGUCUUUGUGUGUCUGUGUUUGUGUGUCUGUGUUUGUGUGUCUGUGUGUGUGUGUGUUUAUAUGUUUGUGUCGGUGGGCUGGUGGAGAAGAAAAAGGACAAGCCAAUCAUCCGCAGCUCCUCCCGCAGCUCCACCAACCACCACCACCCCACCCCUCAUCUCCAUCCACCCCCCCCCCCCCCCCCCCCCCCCCACCUGCCCCCCCUACCACCCUGCCCCCACAACCCAACAUGGUGGGGCGAAUUCUCUAGAAGACCUUCAAGGCCCAUUUGUUUGCGUCUGUAAAAGAGACGUGCUACUAAGUUAUUUGGCCGAUGGUGCUGGGGGCGUGCAACCUCUGGAAGUGGGCGGUGUUUAUCUCAAGACCCGUUAAUGCGACAAGAAAGAGGCCGCGAAUGGCUCAUGUUAGUUUUCCUUCAAACAAAAUAAAAGUUUUAUCAAGUGAGGAAGUUCGGCGAAAGGAUGCCACGAAUUCCAAAAGGAUGUACAUAUACAGUCAAAUGUGAGGAGCUGACUUAGUCCACAGAUCAUUUCUAUCCAUCUCUUCACCGUUUCUCUUACCUUUAGCCUUCUACUAACACAGAGAAGCCCACACAGCAGCCAUUCAGACUCUGCUGCUGCUGCUAUGUCCAAAGAACAAUUAGAAAAGUAUUCAGAACACCAGCCAAAGUUACUUUACCUUGCCAAAGUAACUUGACAUUAAACGGAACCUCAGACAAUCGCAUGAAGCACAUAGUUGCAGAUGUUGUUCUGACAAGGGCUAACGUAGAGAGCCUGAUAGGAAACUAGACACCUUCAUUUGCGAGGGGUAACGUGACACAUUCUGCCCUAUUUAACACUGACUUAUAAAAACAUAGUACAUAUCUGUGAAAUUCAGCAGAAGGGUUUGUGCCACUGUCUCUCUGGUAUUCCACCUAGUUUAGUUGGGAGGAUUUGAAAGCGGCAUUAGUGUGAAUGGCCGAGUACAGUCUAUUUUACGUCAGCUGGUCCGUAAUAAAAACGUUUGGCUUCCUCCCAUCCGAAUGGCCAUCCGUUCCAAUAUAUGAACACAUCUCAGUGUUUCAUAGACAAUGUGUAACAUUUACUUACUGAAUGUAUUUAUAGCACAGCACCACCCACCCAACUAGCAAGUACACCAAAACAGCCAUGGACAAACACAAGCAAAACCCCAGCUGACAGAGAUGAACUACUUUUUAGAUUUUAGUGCUCAGUGUAAGGCAGCGACGCCCUGUCGUGUAUUUUGUGCUUGUUUUGUUUAUUAGUUUCUUGUUCUUAUUCUCGCAUUUGUACGUUCAAUGAUGGUUGUAAAAAAAAAAAAAAUUAACUCUGCUUAGCUCUGCUUCAUUUUACAAUCUCCGUUUAAUUGUCGUGCACUGAACGAGUGAUCUAACGUUUAAUGGCGAGGCUUUAAACACCGCAAACAUUUGCAACGUUAUCUAUCUUCACAGCCCUGUGCACCCCGCCCUGGACCCUAUUACCACAGAGUAACAACUGGCUCUUCUAUUUUUUUUUGCUUUAAUUUGUAUACUUUUAUUUAAUUGCAGUGUUUUUGCUCAUACUGUUUCAAUAAAAAAAAAUCAAAUACUAAA